rnacentral:rRNA from 1 species
UGGCGGACGGGUGAGUAACGCGUGGAAAACCUGCCGUAUACUGGGGGAUAACACUUAGAAAUAGGUGCUAAUACCGCAUAAGCGCACAGCUUCGCAUGAAGCGGUGUGAAAAACUCUGGUGGUAUACGAUGGUUCCGCGUCUGAUUAGCUAGUUGGUGGGGUAAUGGCCUACCAAGGCAACGAUCAGUAGCCGGCCUGAGAGGGUGAACGGCCACAUUGGGGCUGAGACACGGCCCAAACUCCUACGGGAGGCAGCAG